CGUAGGGUGCAAGCGUUGUCCGGAUUAUUGGGUUUAAAGGGUGCGUAGGCGGCCUGUAAGUCAGUGGUGAAAUACUCCAGCUUAACUGGAGGGGUGCCAUUGAUACUGCAGGGCUUGAGUUAAGUUGAAGUUGGCGGAAUUGACGGUGUAGCGGUGAAAUGCUUAGAUAUCGUCAAGAACACCGAUAGUGAAGACAGCUAACUAAACUUUUACUGACGCUGAGGCACGAAAGUGUGGGGAUCAAACAGGAUUAGAUACCCUGGUAGUCCACACUGUAAACGUUGAUUACUCGCUGUGUGCGAUAUACAGUACGCGGCCAAGCGAAAGCGAUAAGUAAUCCACCUGGGGAGUACGCCGGCAACGGUG
rnacentral:rRNA from 1 species